UGUCUAACAUGUGCAUUGUUAUUACUCAUGUCUAAUAGCAGUACCUGUGUUUUGCAUUCAGAUCUUGCUAUUCACACAAACAUCAAAGAAAAACCCUACAAUCAUUGUUCUGGCCUAGUGUUGUCUCUUAGGAAAUAACUACCACUGACCAGCUUCUAAAUUUACAUACAUAA